rnacentral:rRNA from 1 species
GAUGAACGCUGGCGGCGUGCCUAAUACAUGCAAGUCGAGCGAACAGACGAGGAGCUUGCUCCUCUGACGUUAGCGGCGGACGGGUGAGUAACACGUGGAUAACCUACCUAUAAGACUGGGAUAACUUCGGGAAACCGGAGCUAAUACCGGAUAAUAUAUUGAACCGCAUGGUUCAAUAGUGAAGGACGGUUUUGCUGUCACUUAUAGAUGGAUCCGCGCCGCAUUAGCUAGUUGGUAAGGUAACGGCUUACCAAGGCAACGAUGCGUAGCCGACCUGAGAGGGUGAUCGGCCACACUGGAACUGAGACACAGUCCAGACUCCUACGGGAGGCAGCAGUAGGGAAUCUUCCGCAAUGGGCGAAAGCCUGACGGAGCAACGCCGCGUGAGUGAUGAAGGUCUUCGGAUCGUAAAACUCUGUUAUUAGGGAAGAACAAAUGUGUAAGUAACUAUGCACGUCUUGACGGUACCUAAUCAGAAAGCCACGGCUAACUACGU